AAGGAGUCGUCUUCGUAUGCGAGUGAACGGGUGUAAAAAACCUAAGAGUAAUGAAAGAGAACGAAGGUGAGAGAUUCGGCGCAUCACCGACCGAUCCUGAUGUUCUCGGAUGGAUUUGAGUAAGAGCAUACGGGUCCGGACCCGAAAGAAGGUGAACUAUGCCUGUAUAGGGUGAAGCCAGAGGAAACUCUGGUGGAGGCUCGCAGCGGUUCUGACGUGCAAAUCGAUCGUCAAAUAUGGGCAUGGGGGCGAAAGACUAAUCGAACCUUCUAGUAGCUGGUUUCCUC
rnacentral:misc_RNA from 1 species